GUGCCAGCAGCCGCGGUAAUACGUACCGUACGAACGUUAUUCGGAAUCACUGGGCUUAAAGAGUCCGUAGGCGGCCUUAAAGGUGAGGUGUGAAAUCCCACGGCUUAACCGUGGAACUGCGCUUCAAACCAUAAGGCUAGAGGGAGAUAGAGGAAAGCGGAACUGAUGGUGGAGCGGUGAAAUGCGUUGAUAUCAUCAGGAACACCGGUGGCGAAAGCGGCUUUCUGGGUCUCUUCUGACGCUGAGGGACGAAAGCUAGGGGAGCGAACGGGAUUAGAUACCCGAGUAGUCC
rnacentral:rRNA from 1 species